rnacentral:rRNA from 1 species
UGCCAGCCGCCGCGGUAAGACGGAGGGGGCUAGCGUUGUUCGGAAUUACUGGGCGUAAAGGGCGCGUAGGCGGAUUAGUAAGUUGGGAGUGAAAGCCCGGGGCUUAACCUCGGAACUGCUUUCAAAACUGCUAGUCUUGAGUGAAGUAGGGGAUGAUGGAAUUCCUAGUGUAGAGGUGAAAUUCUUAGAUAUUAGGAGGAACACCGAUGGCGAAGGCAUCUCUCUGGGCCGAUAUUGACGCUGAAGCGCGAAGGCGUGGGUAGCGAACGGGAUUAGAUA